rnacentral:rRNA from 1 species
AGUGGCGAACGGGUGAGUAACACGUGAGUAACCUGCCCACAACUUUGGGAUAACGCUAGGAAACUGGUGCUAAUACUGGAUAUGUGCUCCUGCUGCAUGGUGGGGGUUGGAAAGCUCCGGCGGUUGUGGAUGGACUCGCGGCCUAUCAGCUUGUUGGUGGGGUAGUGGCCUACCAAGGCGGCGACGGGUAGCCGGCCUGAGAGGGUGACCGGCCACAUUGGGACUGAGAUACGGCCCAGACUCC